CCCUGACAGCGACAACCGCUGACACUAGCCACGACAGGAGACAACCAUG
ncrna:unclassified sequences Mu-gpT-DE RNA